rnacentral:rRNA from 1 species
GACGAACGCUGGCGGCGUGCUUAACACAUGCAAGUCGAACGGAAAGGCCCUGCUUGCAGGGUACUCGAGUGGCGAACGGGUGAGUAACACGUGGGUGAUCUGCCCUGCACUUCGGGAUAAGCCUUGGGAACUGGGUCUAAUACCGGAUAGGAGCCAUUCUGAGUGUGGGGGUUGGAAAGUUUUUUCGGUGUAGGGUGAGCGCGCGGCCUAUCAGGUUGUUUGUUGGGUAAGGGCCUACCAAGGCGGCGACGGGUAGCCGGCCGGGGAGGGUGGACGGCCAAAUUGGGGAUGAGAUACGGCCCAGACCCCCACGGGAGGGAGGAGGGGGGGAUAAUGGACAAUGGGGGCGAGCCUGAUGCAGCGACGCCGCGUGGGGGAUGACGGGCUUCGGGUUGUAAACUCCUUUCGCCAGGGACGAAGCUUUUUGUGACGGUACCUAGAUAAGAAGCACCGGCUAACUACGUG